rnacentral:rRNA from 1 species
UAGGGAAUCUUCCACAAUGGACGCAAGUCUGAUGGAGCAACGCCGCGUGAGUGAAGAAGGUUUUCGGACCGUAAAGCUCUGUUGUUGGUGAAGAAGGAUAGAGGUAGUAACUGGCCUUUAUUUGACGGUAAUCAACCAGAAAGUCACGGCUAACUACGUGCCAGCAGCCGCGGUAAUACGUAGGUGGCAAGCGCUGUCCGGAUUUAUUGGGCGUAAAGCGAGCGCAGGCGGAAGAAUAAGUCUGAUGUGAAAGCCCUCGGCUUAAACCG